GUCAACAACUAUGAAGGUAACUCACUUCGUAGUUGUCCGCCUCCAGUGGCUUGCUAGGACGAGGCAGGCACAGACCUGUACUAUAAUUACUCGCAAAUUUCAAAGAAAGGUGUUGCCAUAAGUGAUGUGACAUCUACUUUAAGGACUUAUGGCCAUUGGUCACGCAGAAACAGUAUAAAAGUGGAGUCUCUGGUCUACCUGAUCCAGCGAUCGCCCGACCUGUAAGGAUGAAGGUGUCUAUCCUGAUCCUACUCGGCCUCCUGGCUAUGGCCUCUGUCACAGACGGACAACUUAAUGUCAUCGUACAGCUGGCGCAGCUGCUGGAGGUGAAUAUCAACGUGGGGAACUGUAUUACCGAGUGUCCAAAAAUUGUUGGUCUUCUGCAGAGCAAACUGUGCAGACAGUGCUGCUGCCUCUUGUACCCAGUUCUUUGCAUUGCCUAACGAGACUUCUUUUCAAGCAACACGAUCUUGCAGCUGAAGAUGUGAAAUAAAAAUUUCAUGUUCAGCAAA